rnacentral:rRNA from 1 species
UCGACGGGGAGGUUUGGCACCUCGAUGUCGGCUCAUCGCAUCCUGGGGCUGGAGUAGGUCCCAAGGGUUGGGCUGUUCGCCCAUUAAAGCGGUACGCGAGCUGGGUUCAGAACGUCGUGAGACAGUUCGGUCCCUAUCUGUCGUGGGCGUAGGAAAUUUGAGGGGAACUGACCCUAGUACGAGAGGACCGGGAUGGACGUACCGCUGGUGUACCAGUUGUGCCGCCAGGUGCAUCGCUGGGUAGCCAAGUACGGAAGAGAUAAGCGCUGAAAGCAUCUAAGCGCGAAGCUCACCCCAAGAUGAGAUUUCCCACUGGCUUAAGCCAGGUAAGACCCCUUGUAGACGACGAGGUUGAUCGGUCCUGGGUGGAAGUGUGGUAACACAUGAAGCUUUGGGAUACGAUCGGUCGAGGGCUUAUUCAU